rnacentral:lncRNA from 1 species
UGCCUAUUCAAACAUGAUUAUUGUAUACAUAUUAAAAAAAAAAAUUUACAAACAUGAUUUAUAACCAGAUAAUUCGAAAGAAAGCAUGCUUAUUUAUAAUCCAUUUUGGUGUUUAUUCAAGCACCAAUAAAGAUGAAACAUAGCUAUCUCGCAAGAUGAUAUAAAACUUAGUAGCUAGAAUAAUAGAACUUUAAUUUUUAUAUAUCCCAAUCGUACAUGAGCUUCAUCGGCUCGCCGUUUUUUGAUAAAUAAAUACCAUCAUCUUUUGCUUCCCAUGAGUAUAACAGGCCACAUUUACGAAACGCACCUUCUUCAUAUGCCAUAAAGGUUUUAUGAUAUUCAAGAUUAGCCCCCUUCCACAAGAUACAUUUGAAUCUUGUCUGAAUAACCAAAUUGUCAUGAAAGCUGAAAGUAUAUGCAGCGUCUUGAAAUCUCAGAAAAUGCUCGCCUAGAUCAUCGUCUCUGGAUUCGCAAUGGACUUUGAGAAUACUACGGCUAAGUGUAAGGUUGUUUUGAACAGCUACGGUGUUUUUAUGACACUGAACUUCAUUCGACUCAACAUGCAAAGAAAAUAUAAGAUACAGAAAAAUAAAUGAAAGAUUCAUUUUUCUUUUAACUAAUUGUAUAUGUCUCUACAGAUUUAUAGACUUUGCAGUUCAUAGGUUUCUCAGACCAAAGUCAACAAUGGUUUCUUGGAUGCCUCUACUGGUGUUUGUGCUCCAUUUGGUAGAUUUUCAAAGACUUCAUUACUAUCUCAGACCAAAGUCAACUAUGGUUUCUUGGAUACCUCCAGUUUGGGCUUUGUGCUUCUAAACAUCAUUACUUGAAAACAAGUAUUUUGGACCAUUGUUAAUUCAGAUUUUUGGACCUAAGGUUUUAAGAGUUUUUUAGGUUAAUUCAGAUCUUCAAAUUUUUUGGAUUAUCCAUUCAAGUUCAGUUGAUAAUAAUUCUGGUUGUCCAACAUGUAGAUUUUAUACCAUAUUACAUAAUCCAUUCCAAUAUUUUUACAACUCGAAUUGCAUAGCUGGGAUUGCAUACGUACUUGUGUUUUUCUGUUCGUGGUCGGCUUUUAGGUUUUUGCCCAAGUCUGGCAAUAUUUUUUUACAUUAAAAAAAUAAUACCCAUGGAUAAUUACUAUAGAGAAAUUCUUGGGUUCACUUAUUCUUGGGGUGAGGUUCACCAACCAGUAGUGUUUGAGUAUUUGAUAUUUGAUAUCUUUUAAAAAAGGAAACAAAAUUGAAUUUCCAAAUAAAAUUAUAUUUUCAAAAUAAAACAAUAAAAAUACAUAAAAAUAGUUACAAAAAAUAAAUAAAUAAAUAUUGUUAAACUGUUAGCAAAAUACUAAAUCAUAUACCCUAAAUCCUAAACUCCAAACCCUAAAUUAUAAACCUUAAAUCUUGGAUAAACCGUAAACCAUUGGAAAAUUUUAAACCCUAAAUCAUACAUUUAAAACUAAAUUUUAAUAACACUAAACCCUAAACCCUAAUCACUAAACCCUAAACGCUUGGAUAAAUGAUAAACUAGAUCUAAAUCAAAAAUAUUUAAAAUUAAAUCCUAGAGUUUAUGAUUUAUCCAAGGGUUCAAAGUUUACCCAAGGGUUUAGGUUUAGUGAUUAGGAUUUAGGGUUUAGUGUUAUUAAAAUUUAGUUUUUAAUGUAUGAUUUAGGGUUUAAGAUUUUUCAACGGUUUAGAGUUUAUCCAAAGUUUAAGGUUUAACGGUUAGGGUUUAGGAUUUAGGGUAUAGGGUUUAGUAUUUUGCUGAAGACUUAACAAUAUUAAUUAAUUUAUUUUUUGUAACUAUUUUUAUGUAUUUUUAUUAUUUUAUUUUAAAAAUAUAAUCUAAUUUGGAUAUUCAAUUUUUUUUUUUUUUUAAAAGAUAUCAAAUAUCAAAUACUCAAAUACUAUUGGAUGGUUCACGCUAUGGGGUGAACCCAAGAAUUUCUCAUUAUUAUAUAGUGAAACAUAGUUUGACAAGGAGUGGUAAAAGUAAAACUUUUCUAACGUUUCCUAACAUUCUUUGGACAAGGAACUUAACAAUCAUUAUAAAAACAUGAUUUACCAACUCGUCGAGGCAAGUCUCAAUGUCGAACAAGCUAAACUGGUCGGACCUUCACUAUGACGUUCUACAAUUGAUUCUGGAGGGUUUGGACAUCAUUACUUAUGUUAGAGCUCGAACCGUUUGCAAGAAUUGGUACGCAGUUUGCAAACGAAUCACUUCAGUACAGGAAAGGUCUCCGUGGGUGAUAAUCUUCCCUGACGGAAGAUCAAAGUGCGGUUCAUGUCUAGUGUCGGACUGUUGCACUUCUCGACUCACCGGUAAAUGUAAGUUUUACAGAUUGCAGAAUCUCGGCAAUGACUUUGGUACUCACCGGUGUAUCGCAACUUGCGGAGGCUGGCUCUUAAUGUUAGACCUACGUUCAAGUUUAUACGUUUUGAAUGUUUUAACACGCGAGAGAAUCAAACUUCCGCCGUUUGAGUCACACAAAGGAAGGCUAUGUGUUGAGAGACGCCGCCGAGACACCAACUUCGUAAUAAAUAAAUCGUCAGUAACCACAAGAAACGCUGUAAACAAGACAAACGCGGUUUUAUGGGUGGACGAGAGAACCAAACGUUACACAGUCAUCUGGUCCAUAGGUCUCUGGUAUAUGAUGUACGCUAGGAGUGGGUUCAAUUUCUCCUGCAGGAUGGGCUGUAGGCACAGCGUGAAGAUUAUAUUUGGCUUUGUGAUCGGGGUGGUGGGUUGCGCCAAGCUCCAUUCUCUCGCACUUCUGACGGAGAUGUUUAUGACCUCUGCAAGUGACAGCAGUUUAUUUUCGAAGAUCAAUCUGUUUGGAGCUGUCCAGAGACACCAGCAGAUCCACAAGAACAAAUGCGUUGAGGCUCCAUUCAAAAUUUAAAUAACAAUCUUUUAUCAGUAGAAAACAAUAAUACUCUAAAUUAAUAGAAUAGAAGCUUCAAUAGUAUUCAAGAAACAAUGAUUGGUCAAAGCUUGGGCUAUCAAAUCUCAAGGCUACCACACAAAUAUUCGUGGCAUCGACUUGUCCUGGUCCAUCUAGUGUCUCACUAAUUACAGCAGCAACUGGCGUAUAAUAGUAAAUCAUGCUGUAGGUUUUCAUCUCUUAAUCGUGUUUACUCGUGAAACAACCAAUCUUCCUUCAUUAGUCGUAGAUUCAUACGACAGGACGUAUUUGGAUACUCUCUUGAGCUCUACGGCACUAAGUUUCUUUUAACUUGGGACGAUUUCAGGCUCUGAAAGACAGCUGUUUUGUGUAUAAACGAGAGGAAGGGAGAUUUCGUAGUUGCCUGGGCUAUCAAAUAUUAGAGAUAAGCUUGUAAUUAGAGAUAAAGAUCACAUAAUGUUUAGAUAGAUCUUAUCAUUCGGGUAUCUAGGAUUCGAGUAUAUCUCAUAUAUCUCCCAACGUGUAUAAGAGAGGAACAUUGGUUCAUGAAUAACAUAACACAAGAAUACACUUUGACAUGGUAUCAGAGCCACCUCUUGACUCUUGAUAAUUUUACCAUCGUUUUUUUUUAAAUCUCUCUAAAACAAGAUCAUGGCUGAAAAUCAAAGUGCAGCAAUUGUCACAACAGACAAAUUGAUGUCACCAUAUUACCUGCAUCCGUCAGACAACACGGGACAGGUUCAUACCAGAGGAAUCGAUAAUUGCUACUCCAAUCGAAUCCCCUUCAGGGGGAGUCAUUACACCUCACUCACCUUCGGAUCAGUCUCAGGAAACAUCUCUAGACUCCCCGGAACAACAACCCAUUAACUCCUCCACAGAAGAACUUGGACGAGGUAGACGACAAAAGACACAGUCUGUGUUGCUUAAGCCUUACGUCACGUACACGGCACAGGCUAAAGAACCCCAUCACGCUCGCACCAACACCAAAUCAGAGUCUUCCAAUAAGGUAUCUUAUCCCUUAACUGAUUUUGUAUCUUUUCAUCGAUUGUCUCCACAGCUUCAGGCAUAUCUUGCCAAGGUUGCUACCGAAUCUGAACCACUUAGCUUUGAAGAAGCAAUGCGUGACCCUCGAUGGAACAACGCAGUAAUUGUUGAGGCAGAUGCUUUGGAGCUCAAUCACACAUGGGACGUCACUGACCUUCCCCCAGGCAAAGUUGCAAUUGGAUGCAAAUGGGUAUUUCGAAUAAAGUUUCGAGCUGAUGGAACAAUCGAGCAUUUCAAAGCUCGUUUGGUCGUUCUCGGAAAUCAUCAACAAGAGGGAGUAGACUAUAAAGAAACUUUUGCUCCCGUUGUUAAAAUGACCACAGUUCGUAUCCUUCUUGAGAUUUCUGCAGCUAAACGAUGGGAACUCUAUCAAACGGACGUCCACAACGCCUUCUUACACGGUGAUCUGGACGAAGAGGUUUACAUGAAGCUUCCCCUGGUUUCUCGUCGACAUCACCAAACAAAGUAUGCAAACUGCGCAAAUCUCUGUAUGGCUUACGCCAAGCUCCCCGCUGCUGGUUCGCCAAACUGUCUACAGCUCUCAAGAACUUUGGUUUUAAACAGAACUAUUCAGAUUAUUCCUUGUUUACUCUUUGGCGUGGAUCAUCAACAAUCUAUGUCUUAGUAUACGUCGACGACCUUAUUAUUGGAGGCAACGACUCAGAUCUCAUCUCCAAAUUCAAAGCCUACCUCAGUCGGAUCUUUCAUAUGAAAGAUUUGGGAGUUCUUAAAUACUUCCUUGGAAUAGAAGUCUCACGCAACAAUGAAGGGAUUUACUUGUCACAGCAAAAGUACUCACUCGAUAUAAUAAAUGAGUGUGGUUUACUUGGAUGCAAACCCAUUGAUACUCCAAUGGAGCAGAAUCAUACAUUGGCUCGCGAUAAAGGAGAGUUCUUCUCUGAACCGUCCAAAUAUCGUCGCCUGAUUGGAAGACUCGUGUACUUAACAGUGACCAAGCCAGACCUCAGCUACGCAGUGCAUACACUUGCACAGUUCUUACAAGCUCCACGCCUCCACCACUGGCAUGCUGCACUACGGGUAGUACGAUAUCUAAAGAAUGCACCAGGUCAGGGAGUCUUCUUGAGCGUAAAGAAUGAUCUCACAUUAACUGCUUACUGUGAUUCGGAUUGAGCUGCUUGCCCCUUAACACGGUGAUCUCUUACUGGCUAUGUCGUCUUACUUGGCAACUCUUUGGUUUCCUGGAAAACAAAGAAGCAACAGGUAGUAUCAAGAUCAUCAGCUGAAGCUGAAUACAGGUCCAUGGCCAUGACAUUGUGCGAAGUCAAAUGGAUCAUGGAACUCAUGCGAAGUCUUGGGAUUCGUAUCUAAAUCAAAAAUAUUUAAAAUUAAAUCCUAGAGUUUAUGAUUUAUCCAAGGGUUCAAAGUUUACCCAAGGGUUUAGGUUUAGUGAUUAGGAUUUAGGGUUUAGUGUUAUUAAAAUUUAGUUUUUAAUGUAUGAUUUAGGGUUUAAGAUUUUUCAACGGUUUAGAGUUUAUCCAAAGUUUAAGGUUUAACGGUUAGGGUUUAGGAUUUAGGGUAUAGGGUUUAGUAUUUUGCUGAAGACUUAACAAUAUUAAUUAAUUUAUUUUUUGUAACUAUUUUUAUGUAUUUUUAUUAUUUUAUUUUAAAAAUAUAAUCUAAUUUGGAUAUUCAAUUUUUUUUUUUUUUUAAAAGAUAUCAAAUAUCAAAUACUCAAAUACUAUUGGAUGGUUCACGCUAUGGGGUGAACCCAAGAAUUUCUCAUUAUUAUAUAGUGAAACAUAGUUUGACAAGGAGUGGUAAAAGUAAAACUUUUCUAACGUUUCCUAACAUUCUUUGGACAAGGAACUUAACAAUCAUUAUAAAAACAUGAUUUACCAACUCGUCGAGGCAAGUCUCAAUGUCGAACAAGCUAAACUGGUCGGACCUUCACUAUGACGUUCUACAAUUGAUUCUGGAGGGUUUGGACAUCAUUACUUAUGUUAGAGCUCGAACCGUUUGCAAGAAUUGGUACGCAGUUUGCAAACGAAUCACUUCAGUACAGGAAAGGUCUCCGUGGGUGAUAAUCUUCCCUGACGGAAGAUCAAAGUGCGGUUCAUGUCUAGUGUCGGACUGUUGCACUUCUCGACUCACCGGUAAAUGUAAGUUUUACAGAUUGCAGAAUCUCGGCAAUGACUUUGGUACUCACCGGUGUAUCGCAACUUGCGGAGGCUGGCUCUUAAUGUUAGACCUACGUUCAAGUUUAUACGUUUUGAAUGUUUUCACACGCGAGAGAAUCAAACUUCCGCCGUUUGAGUCACACAAAGGAAGGCUAUGUGUUGAGAGACGCCGAGACACCAACUUCGUAAUAAAUAAAUCGUCAGUAACCACAAGAAACGCUGUAAACAAGACAAACGCGGUUUUAUGGGUGGACGAGAGAACCAAACGUUACACAGUCAUCUGGUCCAUAGGUCUCUGGUAUAUGAUGUACGCUAGGAGUGGGUUCAAUUUCUCCUGCAGGAUGGGCUGUAGGCACAGCGUGAAGAUUAUAUUUGGCUUUGUGAUCGGGGUGGUGGGUUGCGCCAAGCUCCAUUCUCUCGCACUUCUGACGGAGAUGUUUAUGACCUCUGCAAGUGACAGCAGUUUAUUUUCGAAGAUCAAUCUGUUUGGAGCUGUCCAGAGACACCAGCAGAUCCACAAGAACAAAUGCGUUGAGGCUCCAUUCAAAAUUUAAAUAACAAUCUUUUAUCAGUAGAAAACAAUAAUACUCUAAAUUAAUAGAAUAGAAGCUUCAAUAGUAUUCAAGAAACAAUGAUUGGUCAAAGCUUGGGCUAUCAAAUCUCAAGGCUACCACACAAAUAUUCGUGGCAUCGACUUGUCCUGGUCCAUCUAGUGUCUCACUAAUUACAGCAGCAACUGGCGUAUAAUAGUAAAUCAUGCUGUAGGUUUUCAUCUCUUAAUCGUGUUUACUCGUGAAACAACCAAUCUUCCUUCAUUAGUCGUAGAUUCAUACGACAGGACGUAUUUGGAUACUCUCUUGAGCUCUACGGCACUAAGUUUCUUUUAACUUGGGACGAUUUCAGGCUCUGAAAGACAGCUGUUUUGUGUAUAAACGAGAGGAAGGGAGAUUUCGUAGUUGCCUGGGCUAUCAAAUAUUAGAGAUAAGCUUGUAAUUAGAGAUAAAGAUCACAUAAUGUUUAGAUAGAUCUUAUCAUUCGGGUAUCUAGGAUUCGAGUAUAUCUCAUAUAUCUCCCAACGUGUAUAAGAGAGGAACAUUGGUUCAUGAAUAACAUAACACAAGAAUACACUUUGACAUGGUAUCAGAGCCACCUCUUGACUCUUGAUAAUUUUACCAUCGUUUUUUUUUAAAUCUCUCUAAAACAAGAUCAUGGCUGAAAAUCAAAGUGCAGCAAUUGUCACAACAGACAAAUUGAUGUCACCAUAUUACCUGCAUCCGUCAGACAACACGGGACAGGUUCAUACCAGAGGAAUCGAUAAUUGCUACUCCAAUCGAAUCCCCUUCAGGGGGAGUCAUUACACCUCACUCACCUUCGGAUCAGUCUCAGGAAACAUCUCUAGACUCCCCGGAACAACAACCCAUUAACUCCUCCACAGAAGAACUUGGACGAGGUAGACGACAAAAGACACAGUCUGUGUUGCUUAAGCCUUACGUCACGUACACGGCACAGGCUAAAGAACCCCAUCACGCUCGCACCAACACCAAAUCAGAGUCUUCCAAUAAGGUAUCUUAUCCCUUAACUGAUUUUGUAUCUUUUCAUCGAUUGUCUCCACAGCUUCAGGCAUAUCUUGCCAAGGUUGCUACCGAAUCUGAACCACUUAGCUUUGAAGAAGCAAUGCGUGACCCUCGAUGGAACAACGCAGUAAUUGUUGAGGCAGAUGCUUUGGAGCUCAAUCACACAUGGGACGUCACUGACCUUCCCCCAGGCAAAGUUGCAAUUGGAUGCAAAUGGGUAUUUCGAAUAAAGUUUCGAGCUGAUGGAACAAUCGAGCAUUUCAAAGCUCGUUUGGUCGUUCUCGGAAAUCAUCAACAAGAGGGAGUAGACUAUAAAGAAACUUUUGCUCCCGUUGUUAAAAUGACCACAGUUCGUAUCCUUCUUGAGAUUUCUGCAGCUAAACGAUGGGAACUCUAUCAAACGGACGUCCACAACGCCUUCUUACACGGUGAUCUGGACGAAGAGGUUUACAUGAAGCUUCCCCUGGUUUCUCGUCGACAUCACCAAACAAAGUAUGCAAACUGCGCAAAUCUCUGUAUGGCUUACGCCAAGCUCCCCGCUGCUGGUUCGCCAAACUGUCUACAGCUCUCAAGAACUUUGGUUUUAAACAGAACUAUUCAGAUUAUUCCUUGUUUACUCUUUGGCGUGGAUCAUCAACAAUCUAUGUCUUAGUAUACGUCGACGACCUUAUUAUUGGAGGCAACGACUCAGAUCUCAUCUCCAAAUUCAAAGCCUACCUCAGUCGGAUCUUUCAUAUGAAAGAUUUGGGAGUUCUUAAAUACUUCCUUGGAAUAGAAGUCUCACGCAACAAUGAAGGGAUUUACUUGUCACAGCAAAAGUACUCACUCGAUAUAAUAAAUGAGUGUGGUUUACUUGGAUGCAAACCCAUUGAUACUCCAAUGGAGCAGAAUCAUACAUUGGCUCGCGAUAAAGGAGAGUUCUUCUCUGAACCGUCCAAAUAUCGUCGCCUGAUUGGAAGACUCGUGUACUUAACAGUGACCAAGCCAGACCUCAGCUACGCAGUGCAUACACUUGCACAGUUCUUACAAGCUCCACGCCUCCACCACUGGCAUGCUGCACUACGGGUAGUACGAUAUCUAAAGAAUGCACCAGGUCAGGGAGUCUUCUUGAGCGUAAAGAAUGAUCUCACAUUAACUGCUUACUGUGAUUCGGAUUGAGCUGCUUGCCCCUUAACACGGUGAUCUCUUACUGGCUAUGUCGUCUUACUUGGCAACUCUUUGGUUUCCUGGAAAACAAAGAAGCAACAGGUAGUAUCAAGAUCAUCAGCUGAAGCUGAAUACAGGUCCAUGGCCAUGACAUUGUGCGAAGUCAAAUGGAUCAUGGAACUCAUGCGAAGUCUUGGGAUUCGUCAACACUCUCCGACCUCAUUAUACUGCGACAAUCAAGCUGCACUCCACAUAGCUGCCAAUCCUGUCUUCCACGAAAGGACGAAACAUAUCGAAGUUGAUUGUCAUUUCAUUCGUGAUGCUAUUCUCGCUGGCUUGAUAGUAACAAGAUACGUGAAGACUACGGAACAGCUUGCCGAUAUACUGGCAAAACCACUUGGUCGUCAUCAGUAUCAUUACUUGUUGGGCAAGAUGGGCGUUCAAAAUCUUUACCCUCCAUCUUGAGGGGGAGUAUUAGAGAUAAGCUUGUAAUUAGAGAUAAAGAUCACAUAAUGUUUAGAUAGAUCUUAUCAUUCGGGUAUCUAGGAUUCGAGUAUAUCUCAUAUAUCUCCCAACGUGUAUAAGAGAGGAACAUUGGUUCAUGAAUAACAUAACACAAGAAUACACUUUGACAUCAAACAGAUCUAUAAUAUCGAUCUCAUACAAGAAAAUAGCAAAUGAUGAUGCUGAGCGGUGGAGUAUUACAUGCACACAAUGUGAAGAUAUGGCUUAUGAAGACAACAAGCUUUACUUCUACCUUUUACAUAAAGGAAAUAGAGAUCAUACUUCUUAUAAAUCCAUUUUAUUCAAGCACACCAAGAAAGGGGAGGCAACAUAGCUAUCUCAUAAGAUGAAAUAAGAACUUUAGUUAGAACAUUAAUAUUUAUCCCAAAUAUACAUGAGCUUCAUCGGUUCACGGUUUCUUGAAAAGUAAAUACCAUCAUCCCGUGCUUCCCAUGAGUUAAAUUUGCCACAUUUAAGAUACGCACCUCCUUGAUACGCCGUAAAGUUUUGAUGAUAUUCCAGAUUAGCCCCUUUCCACAAGAUACAUUUGAAUCUUGUAAGUAAUAAGAAGACUAUCAUGAAAACUAAAAUUGUAUGCAACGUCUUGAAAUCUCAGAAAAUGGUCGCCUAGAUCAUCGUCUUUGGAUACACAAUGGACUUUGAGAAUACUACGGCUAAGUGCAAGGUUGUUUUGGAUAGCUACCAUGUUUUAGUGACAGUUUUCUACAUUCGACUCAACAUGCAAGGAAAAUACAAGAUACAAAAAAUAAAUACAAGUAUCAUUUUUCUUGUAGUUAAUUGUGUGUAUGUAAGUCUCUACAGAUUUAUAGACUUCAUAGUUAAUAGGUUUCUCAGACCAAAUUCAAAAUGGUUUCUUGGAUACCUCUUUUGGUGUUUGUGCUCCAUUUGGCAGACUUUCAAAGACUUCAUUAGUGUCGCAGACCAAAGUCAACAAUGGUUUCUUGGAUAACACUAGUUUAGUGUUUGUGCUCCAUUUGAUUUACUUUCUUAAUAUUUUAUCUUGUAACCGUCAAAUGCAACCACAUUUGUUGUUGUUGUCAAUGAGAAAUUUAAAUCUCUUAUAUAUUAUUUGAGAAGCAUUACAACUUCUUUUUGUAGCCACGUGUCAUCAAUAGGAUGAUUCUUAGAAUCAUUAGAGAAAUAUGUUGGUCCAUCUAAUUAUAUAAUAAGCUUUUUAUUAAACUAACAAUAAAUUCAUCAUCAAUGUACUUUAUUAUUUCCUUAAAUAAAAUUUACGGAAUUGCCUACUGUGGCUAAAGUAUAUAUGACAAUUAAUGAUUUUGAAUAAUAAAGAUUUGAUAAAAAAAUAGUGUAUCUUCUAUCAUAUUUUUUUAAUUUUAAACUAUUAAAUAAAUUAAACAAUCAUAAUAACCAUAUAAUAAAAAUUUAGAUUUAUAUGUGUUUGACAACUUAUUUUUCUUUUAAAUUAUAAAUUACUAAAACUAUUAAUCCCACAAUAAAAAUUUUGUUAUCAGUAAUUUAAAUUUUUUUCUAUAAAAGAUAUAAAUGAUCGAAAAAACUAUAUGAGUAGAAAUCAUCAUUUAAUAGAUAUUAAUAUUAAAAAUAUACUAAAAUAUAUUAUCUAUGUUAGUAUCAUUUAAAUUUAAUUACAUAUCCUAUCAAAUAUAAAAAAAAUUAUUUUUUGGAUUAAUAAAAUUAAUUUAUCUGUUUGCACCAAUUUAAUUAUAUAUUUAAUACUUACUGAAUUUUAAUUAUUUAAUAUAUAUUAAUUAUUUCAUAAUAUGUAAAAAUAUUUAAUACAUAAAAUAAUUUAUAUAUAUAAUGUUGAUCCCGCGCAAGGCGCGGAUCAUAACCUAGUGUUAAUUUAAAAAGAAAGAUUCUACGUUUUGUUUCUUUGUUACAGAACCUAUUAAGUGAGAUUUAUUUUUUGUUAUUGCAAAAAGAGUUGGGCCUUCGACUUUAAUAUCACCUUUCGACCAGGACUCAAAGUAGGAAUGUAACAAAACCGCUAGUCCACGCACACCUGUGGUAUGGUGACUGGCGAGAAAUAUUGAGAAAACCUAAUUAACAAAACGAAUUUCUUAUGCUUUUGCAAUUUUGGUGUUUAUUCAAGUACCAAGAAAGAGGCAACAUAGCUAGCUCAUAAGACGAAUAAGAUUUUAGUUAUUAGAACACUAAUCUUUAUCCCAACUAUACAUGAGCUCUAUCGGCUCAUCCUCUGUUGAUGAGUAAAUAGCAUCAUCUCGUGUUUCUCAUGUGUAUAACGUGCCACAUCUUAUUAUUAUUACUAUCCAUCUUUUAUUUCUUAUGUGUUUCCGAUGCGUAUCCAUCUUUUAUUUCUUGCUUAACGUGACGACGACGUAUGUAUGUUUAUGAGUUGUGUAAGAUUUGGUCAUAUAUUGGCAAAAAGUACAUCGUUUCUUGAAGUCCAAAAGAUCAGCAAUAUUGAGAGUUCGGAUUCAUCCUCUUAUGUUCCAUUAGGGUUCAGUUAACUAUAUUUCGGGUUUAGAUAUAUUUAUAACUGUCUAAGAUCUAUUUUAGAUCCAAACUUAUUUCAAAUUCGGUUUGGAUUCAGAAUUUUUAGAUAUCACAUCAACUAAACAUAAAAUUGAGUAUUUGCAAUCCUUAUUUAGAUUUUGAAUAUUUGUUUCGGAUAUUAAUUCAGAUUUUUGGAUCUAAAAUUUUCAAUUAAUAGUUCUCGGAUAUUAAAUUGUUUUUGAUUAACUCAGAUCUUCAAAAUUUUUGGACUAUCCAUUCAAAUCCGGUUAAUAACAAUUCAGGUUAUCCAACAUGUAUAUUUUAUAUCAUUAGUCGAAUUGCAUAGCUCGAAUUGCAUAGCUCGAAUUGCAUACAGACUCGUGUGUUUUUGUUCAUGUUUGGAUUUCAAGCUUUUGCCCAAACCUAGCAAUAUUUUUAAACAUUUUAAAAAUAAUAAUACCUGUGGAUACAUAACAAUACCUGUCACAAGUCUCGUCUUUGCUUUGCGAACUUUAGUCCAAAGACGGCUCUGUUUGGGAGACGGGAUGUUGAUUUUUGGUCAUGGAGUUACAAUAAGAGGACCUGUCAAAGAUAGAGGAGUCAAGGAGUGAUUCAAUGUGCUUCCGCGAUGAUGAUCAUUUGUCUGAUAAUUAUCUUACGACGAGGAGAGGCAUACUUCUUAGGAUCUUAUAAUCCAUGUUGGUGUCUAUUCCAACAUGAUUAAUGUAUGUAUUCAUAUUUUUUCUUAAAGAUUUACAAACAUGAUUUAUAACCAGAUUAUUUGAAAGAAGGCAUACUUAUUUAUAAUCCAUUUUGGUGUUUAUUCAAACACCAAAAAAAAAAAGGAAACAUAGCUAUCUCGCAAGAUGAUAUAAAAACUUAGUAGCUAGAAUAGUUAGAACAUUAAUCUAUAUCCCAAAGAUACAUGAGCUUCAUAAGCCCACCGUUUUUUGAUAAGUAAAUACCAUCAUCUCGCGCUUCCCAUGAGUAUAACACACCGCAUUCAGGAAACGCAUCUGCUUCGUAUGCCACAAAGGUUUUAUGAUAUUCAAGAUUAGCCCCCUUCCACAAGAUACAUUUGAAUCUUGUCAGAACAACAAAACUGUCAUGAAAACUGAAAGUGUAUGCAACGUCUUGAAACCUCAGAAAAUGCUCGCCUAGAUCAUCGUCUCUGGAUUGGCAAUGGACUUUGAGAAUACUACGGCUAAGUGUGAGGUUGUUUUUAACAUCUACGAUGUUUUUAUGACACUCAGCUUCAUUCAACUCAACAUGCAAAGAAAAUAUAAGAUACAGAAAAAUAAAUACAAGUUUCAUUUUUCUUUUAA